rnacentral:rRNA from 1 species
CCCGUAUUAGGUGAAGUCAAUGAUCCCAUGCUGCCAAGAAAAGCCUCUAGCGAGCUUCGAGCGGCCCGUACCCCAAACCGACACAGGUGGUCAGGUAGAGAAUACCGAGGCGAUCGGGCGAACUGUGGUUAAGGAACUCGGCAAAUUACCCCCGUAACUUCGGGAGAAGGGGGGCCACAGACUGUCAUACCCCACGCGGGUGGCAGCAGUAGGUGGCCGCAGAGACCAGGGGGAAGCGACUGUUUACUAAAAACACAGGUCCGUGCGAAGUCGUAAGACGAUGUAUACGGACUGACGCCUGCCCGGUGCUGGAACGUUAAGGGGACCGGUUAGUCCGCAAGGGCGAAGCUGAGAACUUAAGCGCCAGUAAACGGCGGUGGUAACUAUAACCAUCCUAAGGUAGCGAAAUUCCUUGUCGGGUAAGUUCCGACCUGCACGAAUGGCGUAACGACUUCCCUACUGUCUCAACCACAGGCCCGGCGAAAUUGCACUACGAGUAAAGAUGCUCGUUACGCGCGGAAGGACGGAAAGACCCCGGGACCUUCACUAUAGCUUGACAUUGGUAUCCGAAUUUAAUUGUGUAGGAUAGGUGGGAGGCUUUGAUCCGCGGACGCCAGUCCGUCGGGGAGCCAACGUUGAAAUACCACUCUGUUGACUUUGGGUAUCUAACUUCGGACCGUGAUCCGGUUCAGGGACAGUGUCUGGUGGGUAGUUUAACUGGGGCGGUUGCCUCCUAAAAUGUAACGGAGGCGCCCAAAGGUUCCCUCAGCCUGGUUGGCAAUCAGGUGUUGAGUGCAAGUGCACAAGGGAGCUUGACUGUGAGACUGACAGGUCGAGCAGGGACGAAAGUCGGGACUAGUGAUCCGGCACCUGCGAAUGGAAGCGGUGUCGCUCAACGGAUAAAAGGUACCCCGGGGAUAACAGGCUGAUCUUCCCCAAGAGUCCAUAUCGACGGGAUGGUUUGGCACCUCGAUGUCGGCUCGUCGCAUCCUGGGGCUGGAGUAGGUCCCAAGGGUUGGGCUGUUCGCCCAUUAAAGCGGCACGCGAGCUGGGUUUAGAACGUCGUGAGACAGUUCGGUCCCUAUCCUCCGCGCGCGUAGGAGACUUGAGAAGAGCUGUCCCUAGUACGAGAGGACCGGGACGGACGAACCUCUGGUGUGCCAGUUGUCAUGCCAAUGGCACGGCUGGUUAGCUACGUUCGGAAGGGAUAACCGCUGAAAGCAUCUAAGCGGGAAGCUCGCUUCAAGAUGAGGUCUCCCACCCCUUAGAGGGUUAAGGCCCCCAGCUAGACCACUGGGUUGAUAGGCCAGAAGUGUAAGCCUGGUAACAGGUUCAGCCGACUGGUACUAAUAGGCCGAGGACUUC